GGGGCCGUAGCUCAGUUGGAAGAGCGCCUGCAUGGCAUGCAGGAGGUCGUCGGUUCGAUCCCGGUCGGCUCCA
rnacentral:tRNA from 1 species